CUGAUGAUUUAUCGGAAGUGUAUGAAAACCACGCACAAUCCCAAAAGGAUAUUCUUUUUAAACUUCUCAACCCAGAAGGAUUGUCGGAAGACCAGGAAUUUUCAAUAAGAGGUCAUAUAUUCAAGCGACAGGGGCCUAUUUUGGAUUAUCUCUAUGGGAACCCCGAGAUUCAAGCUAUCAUAAGAAUAGUUUUCAACGAACUAUUGAAAGAGCAACCGAGUAACAUACCUAAGUAUAUUGCAGAUUUUUUUAAACGUCCCAAAUGUGAACUGAACAUUUUGAUUUCAGAAAAUAUAUCAAAGGCUAGUAGAAAAUCUUGCGGCCUUGGUGAAACAACUGCAAAGAUACCUGAAGGAAGAGGAACUGUACGUUUUAAGGAGCUAUCUAAAUCUGGUCCCUCUGAUCAUAAACCGUCUACUUUGAAGUCACCUAGUGAAGAUUGGGACACAUCUUCCAUUUCGACUUUUAGUGCAGAAUUGGGGUCUAGAAGAUCUGUAGUUUUACACGAAACGAAUUAUCGAUGAGUCGUUUACGUUUACAGUGUAAAUAUAAUUAUUAAUUUU